rnacentral:rRNA from 1 species
ACUCCUACGGGAGGCAGCAGUGGGGAAUAUUGCACAAUGGGGGAAACCCUGAUGCAGCCAUGCCGCGUGUGUGAAGAAGGCCUUCGGGUUGUAAAGCACUUUCUAGUAGGGAGGAAGGUAGUGUAGUUAACACCUGCAUUAUUUGUACGUUACCUACAGAAGAAGCACCGGCUAACUCCGUGCCAGCAGCCGCGGUAAUACGGAGGGUGCGAGCGUUAAUCGGAAUUACUGGGCGUAAAGCGCAUGCAGGCGGCCUGUUAAGUCAGAUGUGAAAGCCCGGGGCUUAACCUCGGAAUUGCAUUUGAAACUGGCAGGCUAGAGUCUUGUAGAGGGGUUAGAA